rnacentral:rRNA from 1 species
GACGAACGCUGGCGGCGUGCUUAACACAUGCAAGUCGAGCGGUAAGGCCCUUUCGGGGGUACGACGAGCGGCGAACGGGUGAGUAACACGUGGGUGACCUGCCCUCCAGCUCUGGGAGUAAGCCUGGGAAACCGGGUACUAAUACCGGAUAUGACUCCAUGACGCAUGUUGUGGGGUGGAAAGCCUUGUGCGGCUGAGGAUGGGCCCGCGGCCUAUCAGCUUGUUGGUGGGGUGAUGGCCUACCAAGGCGACGACGGGUAGCCGGCCUGAGAGGGCGACCGGCCACACUGGGACUGAGACACGGCCCAGACUCCUACGGGAGGCAGCAGUGGGGAAUCUUGCGCAAUGGGCGAAAGCCUGACGCAGCGACGCCGCGUGAGGGAUGACGGCCUGG